rnacentral:lncRNA from 12 species
UUUAUGUAUUCCGAUAUUGAAGCACACCUGUGACACCCAUUUUUACGCUUCAACUAAAGGCCACUGAAAUCUCCUUUUGAUUUCAGUGGUAUCUGGAUCAAGCUCUCAUCUUGACCAUCUGUGGGGUGGUUUGUUUUGUUCUGCAGUCCUGAGGACCUCAGAAAUUUACUUCACUUAUUACUUCUCCGUUAGCCAGCUGAACAGAAAGGACUUUGCAAGUACCCAAGAGGGGAUGAUGGGAGAACAGAGAAAAGAAGAAGAAUAAAAAAAAAAAGAUAAAAGCUUUGGUUGUGAUAACCCAUCCCCUUGGCACAGCACUACUCCAAGACCAGACCUGGACCACUUGUCCAGAGGAACCUGGUGUCCAAGGAACAUUUCUG